AGUGAACGCUAGCGGUAGGCCUAACGCAUGCAAGUCGAACGGCAGCACAGUAAGAGCUUGCUCUUACGGGUGGCGAGUGGCGGACGGGUGAGGAAUACAUCGGAAUCUACUUUUUCGUGGGGGAUAACGUAGGGAAACUUACGCUAAUACCGCAUACGACCUACGGGUGAAAGCAGGGGAUCUUCGGACCUUGCGCGAUUGAAUGAGCCGAUGUCGGAUUAGCUAGUUGGCGGGGUAAAGGCCCACCAAGGCGACGAUCCGUAGCUGGUCUGAGAGGAUGAUCAGCCACACUGGAACUGAGACACGGUCCAGACUCCUACGGGAGGCAGCAGUGGGGAAUAUUGGACAAUGGGCGCAAGCCUGAUCCAGCCAUACCGCGUGGGUGAAGAAGGCCUUCGGGUUGUAAAGCCCUUUUGUUGGGAAAGAAAAGCAGCAGGUUAAUACCCCGCUGUUCUGACGGUACCCAAAGAAUAAGCACCGGCUAACUUCGUG
rnacentral:rRNA from 1 species